AGUAUGGAGAAAAGUGGGAUAGAAACCUCAACAACCCUGUUUCUGGCCCAAGUCACCGGAGAGCUGCUGCUGUCGGAUGCAGGGGCAAGUUCAAGACAGAGGAUUGGUUCAGAGUUUCAAUCACCCCAGCUGUGUUUCAUUCUAACACAGAAGACAAAGAAGAAGACUGCAUGCCCCUGGGUGUUUGGAACUAAUUUUGGGGGUGGCCAACAUAGCUUUGUGGUGAACUGCUUGUUUUGUGAAUAUGGGGUCCUGGAAAAGGACACCAAAGAAAAAGAAGGUAAAGAUGGAGGAGGGAGGAAGAGGAGGGGAAGGAGGAGAGAAGAAGAUACAGGAGGGGAGAGGGAGAAAGAAAAGAAUAUUUGGGUCAGAAUUACCCAUUUUUCCAAGUAAAAUGCUGUCAAAAAUGGUGACUUCUAAGCAAAAGUUUGGAAAUUUAGCAUGUGUUUAACCAGGUCUCUCUCCCUGCUGCAUACCUGGCAGAGGUACAGAUGGUGGCCCCAGAAUCAGCAUGGAUCCCAGAAAGGAAAGUCAGGCUGCAGAGCAAAGCCACAGCCAGCCCUCGAAGCAUGAGUAUGAGUGAGAAGUUCUGUCAACACAUACGGUAGAACUUUGACGUUCACCAUUGCCACCACCAACCCAGCCCUAGAAGACCAACACAGAUACCACACAGAGACACCUCAGGCCCUUCUGGAUCAUCCAUCAAUACAGUUCUCCUGUGUGACUGAGAGCAGGCCCCACACAUCAGCUCAUAACUGACUGUAGUUUUAGUUCCAAGAAGUCUAACGCCCUCUUCUGGCCUCCAUAGUUACUACACAUAUAUGGUGCAUAUAAACCCAUGUAAGCAUUCAUACAUAUACAUAAUAUUGAUGGGGCUGGAGACAUAGCUCAGUGGCUAAGAACACAUACUGCUCUUUCAGAGGACCCAAGUUCAGUUCCCAACACUCAUAAUAGGCAGCUCACAACCAAAAGAUCUAAAGCCCUCUUCUGCCCUCCACAGGCCCUUGCUCUCACAUGGUUCACGCACGCGCGCAUGCAUACACACACACACACACACACACACACACACACACACACACACUGAGUCUUAGAAAAAGUGAUAUUGUCACUUUCUCUAGCACUAUCCUUGUUGAAUCCUGUGAGGUUUUCACAGCUCCCCUCUUCCUUCUCCAAGCACUGGUGUGGCUACCCAGCCCAAGAACCUCUGCCUGUACACUCAGGCAGUAUGUCUGGCUCACACUGGUAAAGGACAGGGGCUAAGGCUUGCUCCCCUAGGGAGAGGCCUAAUCAUCUCCCCUCCUUUUGGUCCUGAGCCCUCCUCCCUGCUCCCCCCUCUCCCAUGUGGCAGCCACAUGGUCCUGGAAUGGCCUGCACAGUGGAGCAAAAGCAAGAC
rnacentral:lncRNA from 1 species